GACGAACGCUGGCGGCGUGCCUAAUACAUGUAAGUGGGACGCAAGAGAACACACUGUGCUUGCACACCGUGUUUUCUUGAGUCGCGAACGGGUGAGUAACGCGUAGGUAACCUGCCUAUUAGCGGGGGAUAACUAUUGGAAACGAUAGCUAAUACCGCAUAAUAUUAAUUAUUGCAUGAUAAUUGAUUGAAAGAUGCAAGCGCAUCACUAGUAGAUGGACCUGCGUUGUAUUAGCUAGUUGGUAAGGUAAGAGCUUACCAAGGCGACGAUACAUAGCCGACCUGAGAGGGUGAUCGGCCACACUGGGACUGAGACACGGCCCAGACUCCGUACGGGAGGCAGC
rnacentral:rRNA from 1 species